GACAGCAGCAGCCGCGGGAAUACAGAGGGUGCAAGCGUUAAUCGGAAUUACUGGGCGUAAAGCGCGCGUAGGUGGUUUGUUAAGUUGGAUGUGAAAUCCCCGGGCUCAACCUGGGAACUGCAUCCAAAACUGGCAAGCUAGAGUAUGGUAGAGGGUGGUGGAAUUUCCUGUGUAGCGGUGAAAUGCGUAGAUAUAGGAAGGAACACCAGUGGCGAAGGCGACCACCUGGACUGAUACUGACACUGAGGUGCGAAAGCGUGGGGAGCAAACAGGAUUAGAUACCCCCGUAGUCCCUGUCUCUUAUAC
rnacentral:rRNA from 1 species